GACUCUACUCAGUUACCUAAUAACAGGCUACUGAGGCUGUUGUUGAAGCCAUAUUUUGAAGUUAUAAAAAGAACAUCUGUCCAGUGAUGUUCACAUAGAGAGACAAGACUAUUUUCUUUCAGAUCUGUAAACAGUGUCAGUCAGGGUUUUCCUCCGUGUGCUGCCCAUCUCUUUUCCACAAGGCCGACUGUAAGGAGGGAGCACUGGCUGACUCGUGCUUAGCGUGACCAACCAGAGAAUUGUAUAGUCCGGAGCUUUACUUCACUUAUUGUUAUAGGUCUUCUGAGCUACAGUGCUUAAGCUUACAUCCCUAAAAGGCAGUUUCAUCUUCCAGACUAGCUUAUUUCCUCCAUAUUAAAAAUAUAAUACCCUGUAAACUGUUAUAAAAGUCACAAAGUCACUGUAACUGUAGUGGUGUACACUUGUGGAUUUUCUCCAUUUGUACCACUUCGAAAUUUGUCUAG
rnacentral:lncRNA from 1 species